rnacentral:lncRNA from 1 species
AUGGGCAGGAGCAAACACGGAUCACUACCUGUGCUAGGCAGUGUGCACUCUUCAUUGACUUGCAACAAUUACCAAAGCAGAGAAAGCAAGGUGGACAGUGGGUCCUUCAAAACUCUCCUUAAAGGCGACGGAAUGAGUGUGUGCAGCUCGGGUCUACAGAAUCAGCCCUGUACAAUGGAUGUGCUUCUCACCUGCAGGAAUCACCAGCUCCGAGGACAGUAAUAACGGAGAAGCACCAGUGGCUCUCUUUGUUCUCCAGAAUUAAAACGAAAAUAGAAAGAGUGACACAGGACCCAACUGAGCCUCUCACCCAGGUCCACUCUGCUCUUCACAAGGACUUGGGCCAAUAAACCCUCUCUGCUCCUUUGUUUCUCCUAAAACUGACUUUAAUAUGCAGCCAUGUGCUUCCACUGGUACCUUGAAGAUGUAUAUAGGGGAAAAUCACAGCUCCUCAGAGCCCUGGGGUAUCUGUGAAAUCCCAUAUCUAAAAUGCUGUGAUUCUAAAUGAGUAGCUUGGACCUUUGAGCCCUUCAAGGUUUAUAAUCCCUGACAGACUCUCACACACUGUCAGUUUUGCUUUCUUUGAUCAGGAUUGGUCCAAAGGCAUCUACAAUGUCUACAACUUUCUAUGAGAAAUGCCUCAGUAACCAGAGAACACUCCUGGAAACUGUCCUUCUCUUGUCAUUUUGCAUCUGCUUGGGUCGAUAACCAAUCCC